rnacentral:rRNA from 1 species
GCCAGCAGCAUACCAUCCUGCAUCCCACUGCUGGCUUGCUUCUGAAGCUAAGCAGGGUUGGUCCUGGAUGGGAGACCAGAUGCUGCUGGAA